rnacentral:lncRNA from 1 species
GCACCAUUAACCUCCAUAUCAACAUACACCACAUAACAUGGUAGAAAGUGAAAGUGACUAAACAUUUGUCAACUUCACACGGCAUAAUCUCUCUUUAGCCUUAGCCGAGAUAUUAUCAUAAACAAACCGGUUAGUUAAAGACUCAAAAGUCAAAGAAAUUAUAUAAAAAGAAAAGUGCUAUAGUAUCAAUAUAAUAAAACUAAAAUCAAUGAACUUGAAUGCUAUCAAUUCUCUGGCUACUAGGUCCAAUGC